rfam:Salmo salar isolate Sally breed double haploid chromosome ssa25, whole genome shotgun sequence.
UGUAUUCACUACUGUAAGUCGCUCUGGAUAAGAGCGUCUGCUAAAUGACCAAAA